rnacentral:pre_miRNA from 1 species
GGUGGGGAGGGGUUUCCUCAGCCCGGAUUGCGAGAGGGCGCAGGCCAGGCCGAGGGACCACACUAGUGCAGG